rnacentral:rRNA from 1 species
UAGGGAAUCUUCGGCAAUGGGGGCAACCCUGACCGAGCAACGCCGCGUGAGUGAAGAAGGUUUUCGGAUCGUAAAGCUCUGUUGUAAGAGAAGAACGUGUGUGAGAGUGGAAAGUUCACACAGUGACGGUAACUUACCAGAAAGGGACGGCUAACUACGUGCCAGCAGCCGCGGUAAUACGUAGGUCCCGAGCGUUGUCCGGAUUUAUUGGGCGUAAAGCGAGCGCAGGCGGUUUAUUAAGUCUGAAGUUAAAGGCAGUGGCUUAACCAGUGUUCGCUUUGGAAACUGUUAAACUUGAGUGCAGAAGGGGAGAGUGGAAUUCCAUGUGUAGCGGUGAAAUGCGUAGAUAUAUGGAGGAACACCGGUGGCGAAAGCGGCUCUCUGGUCUGUAACUGACGCUGAGGCUCGAAAGCGUGGGGAGCAAACAGG